rnacentral:rRNA from 1 species
UUCCUGACGCUGAGAAGCGAAAGCGUGGGGAGCAAACAGGCUUAGAUACCUGGUAGGCCACGCUGUAAACGGUGGGUACUAGGUGUGGGGGACAUUCCACGUUCUCCGUGCCGUAGCUAACGCAUUAAGUACCCCGCCUGGGGAGUACGGCCGCAAGGCUAAAACUCAAAGGAAUUGACGGGGCCCCGCACAAGCGGCGGAGCAUGCGGAUUAAUUCGAUGCAACGCGAAGAACCUUACCUGGGUUUGACAUAUGCCGGAAACAUCUAGAGAUAGGUGCCCCCUUUUUGGGUCGGUUUACAGGUGGUGCAUGGCUGUCGUCAGCUCGUGUCGUGAGAUGUUGGGUUAAGUCCCGCAACGAGCGCAACCCUCGUCCUAUGUUGCCAGCGGGUCAUGCCGGGGACUCAUAGGAGACCGCCGGGGUCAACUCGGAGGAAGGUGGGGAUGACGUCAAGUCAUCAUGCCCCUUAUGUCCAGGGCUUCACGCAUGCUACAAUGGCCGGUACAAAGAGUUGCGAGCCUGUGAGGGUGAGCGAAUCUCAAAAAGCCGGUCUCAGUUCGGANUGGGGUCUGCAACUCGACCCCAUGAAGUCGGAGUCGCUAGUAAUCGCAGAUCAGCAACG